rnacentral:rRNA from 1 species
GAUGAACGCUGGCGGCGUGCCUAAUACAUGCAAGUCGAGCGAACGGACGAGAAGCUUGCUUCUCUGAUGUUAGCGGCGGACGGGUGAGUAACACGUGGAUAACCUACCUAUAAGACUGGGAUAACUUCGGGAAACCGGAGCUAAUACCGGAUAAUAUUUUGAACCGCAUGGUUCAAUAGUGAAAGACGGUCUUGCUGUCACUUAUAGAUGGAUCCGCGCUGCAUUAGCUAGUUGGUAAGGUAACGGCUUACCAAGGCAACGAUGCCUAGCCGACCUGAGAGGGGUGUCCGCCCCCCUUGGACCGAAACCCCGGCCCAACUCCCAGCGGGAGGCGCCGGAAGGAAUUUUCCCGCAUUGGGCGAAGCCUGACGGAACAACGCCCGCGUGAGUGUUGAGGUCUUCCGAUCCUUAAACUCUGUUAUUAGGGAAAAACAAAAUUUUUAGUAACUUUGCACAUCUUGACCGUACCUAAACAAAAAGGCCCGGCUAACUUCCUU